rnacentral:rRNA from 1 species
ACGGGAGGCGCAGUGGGGAAUAUUGCACAAUGGGCGAAAGCCUGAUGCAGCGACGCCGCGUGAGUGAAGAAGUAUUUCGGUAUGUAAAGCUCUAUCAGCAGGGAAGAAAAUGACAGUACCUGACUAAGAAGCCCCGGCUAACUACGUGCCAGCAGCCGCGGUAAUACGUAGGGGGCAAGCGUUAUCCGGAUUUACUGGGUGUAAAGGGAGCGCAGGUGGCAUGGCAAGCCAGAAGUGAAAACCCGGGGCUUAACCCCGCGGACUGCUUUUGGAACUGUCAGGCUAGAGUGCAGGAGGGGCAGGCGGAAUUCCUAGUGUAGCGGUGAAAUGCGUAGAUAUUAGGAGGAACACCGGUGGCGAAGGCGGCCUGCUGGACUGUAACUGACACUGAGGCUCGAAAGCGUGGGGAGCAAACAGGAUUAGAUACCCUGGUA